ensembl:lincRNA
CCGCGCUGAUCAUGCGCCAUGUGGCGCGCUGCAGGGACUGUGUACGCUGAGGCUGCUGAGCGGCGGACAUGCACAUCACAGAGCGUGGCGAUGGAACAGUAACCGGGCUUGUGAGAGGGCUCUACAGUUAUCAACUAGGAGACAAGAUCCACGGAUUCACCGUAAACCAGGUGACAUCUGUUCCCGAGCUGUUCCUGACGGUAGUGAAGCUCAGCCACGAUGACACAGGAGCCAGGUAUUUACACCUGGCCAGAGAAGUCACGAAUAAUCUGUUCAGGUACGUGGUGCAUUGUAAGAACAUGGUCUUGAACGUUUUAUUUAAAUCGGGGAUGUCCAAUCUUUUGGCUUCCCUGUGCCACAAUGGAAGAACAACAACUGUCUUAGGCCACACAUAAAAUACACCAACACUAAGGACAGUUGAUGAGUUAAAAUUAUAAAUAUAGGACCUCAAUGCUUUAAGAAAGUGUAGGGAUUGCGUUGGGCUGCAUUCCAGGUCAUCCUGAGCAUGCAGACCGCAGGCUGUGGGUUAGACAAGCUUGAUUUAAAGCACUGACUGUACAUUACGUGGUUUAAAAAUACCAUCUCACUAGUAUUUUUAUUGACAGAGCAUCUUGAAAAAUAAGGAAAAGCUUACAUGGACUUACAAUCUCAUCAAAAUAUAAUUUUAUAGUCUGAAUCAAUGAUUUACAUUAGAGUUGGGAAACCCUGUGUUGGAGGAUUGUGGUGUCAGAAUGAUGAUUUCUAGUAGCCUGAGGUGAUGAUGCAUCUGGGAACUGUGUCCGCAGCACUAAGACGAACAUUUUGCAUUCUAGUCAUUCUCCUUCCCCAGCGUUCCGUUCCUCCCCCUUCCCUGGCCUUCCGUUCCUUGUUCCUCCCCUUCCCUAGUGUGCUGUUCCUUCUUCCCUAGCGUGCAGUUCCGCACCACUCCCAUGGACAGUACUGGUGUUCCUCACAUUCUUGAGCAUACUGUCCUUUGUGGGUCUCGGAAAUAUCCGUGCAGAGGCUUCAAAAUGUUGAACCAGUCCCUCUCCACAUUCAUGAACGCCUUCACAGGUAAGACCAGCAUCCUGAACGGAAACCGCGUUUGGGUUUGCCAGGCAUACCCACUGGAAUUCAGUUAGUUUCUGAGAAGGGAUGAGAGGAGUGGGCAAUUAAUGUUCUAGAAUAAUUUUUACCCCUCUCUAGUUGAAGGACGUUAGAAAUUUCAUCCUUUAGGAAAGCCGCAUGGUAGCGAGAUUAUAAAAACUAGUGUUUUAAUAAAAGGUAUGUGAACUUGUCCCAGAAAUGUUGAAAACAAUUUUCUCUUGGGGAUAUCGCUACAAUGCCAGGCCUCCAGAGUUACCACUAACGUUGAUGUUUGACUUUUAGUAAGGCUGAUGCUAGUGGAGAGGGUGACGGUGAACAGUGCACUCUGUGAAGGAGUGACAUCGAAGAGCAGGUUAAAUCCAUGCUCUUACAGAAUCAGGUCAUCUUUGUAGACGUGUGAAAGUCUCUGGAGACACUUGAGAGAGUUCAGAUGUUCGCUGAAGAAAGCCCUGGUGUCCGUCGAGUGCAGAUCCUGAGACUGGAUAGGAAAGCCGGCACUCAGAGUGAUGAGCUGGGACAGCUGCUGAGGUAGGUGGCCAGAGCAUGGAGCCACUGCACCAUCUCAAGAAUAACUGCAACUUACUGUCCUAGGACAAAGGGGAAAUGAGGCUUGAGAUUCAAUAAUUUUAGUAGAAAUCUGUUAUAUUUUACAAUUUCACUUUUCAUUUGUACCCAGCUAGUGAUUAUACUCUGUAUCCAUUUUCCACACAAAAUCCCAAGGACUUUCAGAAUCUCCUCUCGAUGUAUUUGGACGCCACCUUUUUCCCAUGUUUAAAUGAGCUGGAUUUCUGGUAUGUCAUGAGUGAUUAACUAGUUGAUGCAGACUUUAGUAUCUGAGUCACUGUCAGCUUAUAAUUAUUUUGUCCUCAGGCAAGAAUGUUGGCAGCUGGGACACGAGAAUCCUAGCGACACCCAGAUGCCCUUGGUCUUUAAAGGAGUCGUCUUUAAUGAGAUGAAGGGAGGGGUUGUAAGUUUUCUUUCUUUUUUAUGUUGUGUUCAGCUAUACAGUACCAUGAUAUAGACACAUC